rfam:Edwardsiella ictaluri 93-146, complete genome.
UUUUCUGCACUUUUUUCCAUCAAAGCGAAAAAAGAGGUGGGAUUCAACGUUUACCUGAUAGCGCAGAAAUGCAGCAAUGGCGUAAGACGUAGUGCGAAAUCAAGUAAUUAGCGGGCUGCGGGUCGCAGUCUGACCAACAACAUGGAAUCAGUUGGCCGCAUCCUUUUUCUGCAGUGCCAUCCUGAUAAACAGCGCUGUCUUUCACAAAGAAAUGCAGGCUUACCGAAUAUUGCGCCCCUAUGCAGGCGACAACCGUGAGGUUGACGACUUUGCGAUAAGACUCGGGGUCAUCGGUCUUCCUCCCGGUCAGAAAGGUCUUUUCGCCCGCAGCUUAAGUUGCCA